rnacentral:rRNA from 1 species
UACGUAGGGUGCAAGCGUUGUCCGGAAUUAUUGGGCGUAAAGAGCUCGUAGGCGGUCUGUCGCGUCGGCUGUGAAAACUCGGGGCUCAACCCCGAGCCUGCAGUCGAUACGGGCAGACUAGAGUGCUGUAGGGGAGACUGGAAUUCCUGGUGUAGCGGUGAAAUGCGCAGAUAUCGGGAGGAACACCAGUAGCGAAGGCGGCACUCUGGGCCGGUACUGACGCUGAGGAGCGAAAGCGUGGGGAGCGAACAGG